GAUGAACGCUGGCGGCGUGCCUAAUACAUGCAAGUCGAGCGAACAGACGAGGAGCUUGCUCCUCUGACGUUAGCGGCGGACGGGUGAGUAACACGUGGAUAACCUACCUAUAAGACUGGGAUAACUUCGGGAAACCGGAGCUAAUACCGGAUAACAUGUUGAACCGCAUGGUUCAACAGUGAAAGACGGUCUUGCUGUCACUUAUAGAUGGAUCCGCGCCGCAUUAGCUAGUUGGUAAGGUAACGGCUUACCAAGGCAACGAUGCGUAGCCGACCUGAGAGGGUGAUCGGCCACACUGGAACUGAGACACGGUCCAGACUCCUACGGGAGGCAGCAGUAGGGAAUCUUCCGCAAUGGGCGAAAGCCUGACGGAGCAACGCCACGUGAGUGAAGAAGGUCUUCGGAUCGUAAAACUCUGUUAUUAGGGAAGAACAAAUGUGUAAGUAACUAUGCACGUCUUGACGGUACCUAAUCAGAAAGCCACGGCUAACUACGUG
rnacentral:rRNA from 1 species